GACGAACCGUGCGAACGUUGUUCGGAUUCACUGGGCUUAAAGGGCGCGUAGGCGGGCAUUCAAGUCAGGGGUGAAAGCCCCCGGCCUAACCGGGGAAGUGCCUCUGAGACUGAGUGUCUCGAGUGGGGUAGGGGCAGUUGGAACUCUCGGUGGAGCGGUGAAAUGCGUAGAUAUCGGGAGGAACGCCGGUGGCGAAAGCGGGCUGCUGGACCCCUUCUGACGCUGAGGCGCGAAAGCCAGGGGAGCGAACGGG
rnacentral:rRNA from 1 species